CGAGGGGAGUGAAAAAGAACCUGAAACCGUGUACGUACAAGCAGUGGGAGCCCCACCACCAAAGCAUUUGCUGUACCGCGUUGACGGAGCGAAGCGACGUCAAACCGAUAAAACAGCAGUGUAAAGUGAGCCGCAGGGCGCUUUGCGCGACAGCGCAAAGGCAGGCGGUUUCGCGUAGCGAAAGCGAAUGCUUUGGGGUGGGGUGACUGCGUACCUUUUGUAUAAUGGGUCAGCGACUUAUAUUCUGUAGCAAGGUUAACCGAAUAGGGGAGCCGGAGGGAAACCGAGUCUUAAUUGGGCGUUAAGUUGCAGGGUAUAGACCCGAAACCCGGUGAUCUAGCCAUGGGCAGGUUGAAGGUUGGGUAACACUAACUGGAGGACCGAACCGACUAAUGUUGAAAAAUUAGCGGAUGACCUGUGGCUGGGGGUGAAAGGCCAAUCAAACCGGGAGAUAGCUGGUUCUCCCCGAAAGCUAUUUAGGUAGCGCCUCGUGAAUUCAUCUCCGGGGGUAGAGCACUGUUUCGGCUAGGGGGCCAUCCCGGCUUACCAACCCGAUGCAAACUGCGAAUACCGGAGAAUGUUAUCACGGGAGACACACGGCGGGUGCUAACGUCCGUCGUGAAGAGGGAAACAACCCAGACCGCCAGCUAAGGUCCCAAAGUCAUGGUUAAGUGGGAAACGAUGUGGGAAGGCCCAGACAGCCAGGAUGUUGGCUUAGAAGCAGCCAUCAUUUAAAGAAAGCGUAAUAGCUCACUGGUCGAGUCGGCCUGCGCGGAAGAUGUAACGGGGCUAAACCAUGCACCGAAGCUGCGGCAGCGACACUGUGUGUUGUUGGGUAGGGGAGCGUUCUGUAAGCCUGUGAAGGUGUGUCGUGAGGCAUGCUGGAGGUAUCAGAAGUGCGAAUGCUGACAUAAGUAACGAUAAAGCGGGUGAAAAGCCCGCUCGCCGGAAGACCAAGGGUUCCUGUCCAACGUUAAUCGGGGCAGGGUGAGUCGACCCCUAAGGCGAGGCCGAAAGGCGUAGUCGAUGGGAAACGGGUUAAUAUUCCCGUACUUGGUGUUACUGCGAAGGGGGGACGGAGAAGGCUAUGUUGGCCGGG
rnacentral:rRNA from 1 species